rnacentral:rRNA from 1 species
UGGCUCAGGAUGAACGCUGGCGGCGUGCCUAACACAUGCAAGUCGAGCGAUUUACUUCGGUAAAGAGCGGCGGACGGGUGAGUAACGCGUGGGUAACCUGCCCUGUACACACGGAUAACAUACCGAAAGGUAUGCUAAUACGAGAUAAUAUGCUUUUAUCGCAUGGUAGAAGUAUCAAAGCUUUUGCGGUACAGGAUGGACCCGCGUCUGAUUAGCUAGUUGGUAAGGUAACGGCUUACCAAGGCGACGAUCAGUAGCCGACCUGAGAGGGUGAUCGGCCACAUUGGAACUGAGACACGGUCCAAACUCCUACGGGAGGCAGCAGUGGGGAAUAUUGCACAAUGGGCGAAAGCCUGAUGCAGCAACGCCGCGUGAGCGAUGAAGGCCUUCGGGUCGUAAAGCUCUGUCCUCAAGGAAGAUAAUGACGGUACUUGAGGAGGAAGCCCCGGCUAACUACGUGCCAGCAGCCGCGGUAAUACGUAGGGGGCUAGCGUUAUCCGGAAUUACUGGGCGUAAAGGGUGCGUAGGUGGUUUCUUAAGUCAGAGGUGAAAGGCUACGGCUCAACCGUAGUAAGCCUUUGAAACUGGGAAACUUGAGUGCAGGAGAGGAGAGUGGAAUUCCUAGUGUAGCGGUGAAAUGCGUAGAUAUUAGGAGGAACACCAGUUGCGAAGGCGGCUCUCUGGACUGUAACUGACACUGAGGCACGAAAGCGUGGGGAGCAAACAGGAUUAGAUACCCUGGUAGUCCACGCCGUAAACGAUGAGUACUAGCUGUCGGAGGUUACCCCCUUCGGUGGCGCAGCUAACGCAUUAAGUACUCCGCCUGGGAAGUACGCUCGCAAGAGUGAAACUCAAAGGAAUUGACG